CGCGUAGGCGGCCUUCUAAGUCGGACGUGAAAUCCCUCGGCUUAACCGAGGAACUGCGUCUGAUACUGGAAGGCUUGAAUCCGGGAGAGGGAUGUGGAAUUCCAGGUGUAGCGGUGAAAUGCGUAGAUAUCUGGAGGAACACCGGUGGCGAAGGCGGCAUCCUGGACCGGCAUUGACGCUGAGGCGCGAAAGCUAGGGGAGCAAACG
rnacentral:rRNA from 1 species